rnacentral:rRNA from 1 species
GACGUAGGGCGCGAGCGUUGUCCGGAUUUAUUGGGCGUAAAGAGCUCGUAGGCGGCUCGUUGCGUCAACCGUGAAAACCCGGGGCUUAACUUCGGGCUUGCGGUUGAUACGGGCGGGCUGGAGUUCGGUAGGGGAGAGUGGAAUUCCUGGUGUAGCGGUGAAAUGCGCAGAUAUCAGGAAGAACACCCGUGGCGAAGGCGGCUCUCUGGGACGGUACUGACGCUGAGACGCGAAAGCGUGGGGAGCGAACAGG